CUCGACAAAGCCGAAACUUACGUCCGCCAUGAGAAUCCCAUAAGGGGCGUAGGCGAGUUUUUGAAGCGGCACCAUGGAACGGAUAGAAGACGAGGAAGGAGGAGAAGGAUGAAGAAUAAGUAUAAGAGAGCGUGGGCCGCGUGGAUGUAUAGUGUAGAACUCUGAAGCGCAUCAGCAUUCAAAGUACUUGGGGGAAGAAGGAGGGCGCGGCUCUUCAGGACAGAAGAGGAACAAAAACCCCCGAGAGGAGGAUGUUGCAUUAAUAUUUAUACGGGAAAAGAGGGCUAGGAGAAGGCGAGAUGGCUCGUGACGGAGAGAAAAGGGAGGAAAUACACGAGCCCGGUACCUCUGGCUGCUGGCUCCCGCCUGCGUCUCCUCGUAGGUCGCUGAAACGCGCGCGCGCGCGCGCUCACUGAAGGGCAAGAGGACUCAAGGGGACGAAAUGAAAUGCAAAUGCCUUAACGAGCCACUGAGGGACUGCCGGAGUGGCUCCUAGUCCCGGUCACGAAUGUACCUCAGUCUCAUCAACGGGCUUGUGAUAAUGCGACCCUGCCGAAUCCCCAACUUCACGGAUCUUCCACAGUUUCCACAAUUUCCUUUACACCGAUCGUUCAAGGACAAACCCAUCAUCCACGUAUCCACGAAUUGAAAGAUUCAUCUCGAGUGGCAUUAAUCGGAGGAUACAGAUGCCUAGUUCCGAUAAGUCGAGUGUGUUUAGGCGUCGGCAGCAAACGUAUUGUUCGCGAAUAUGCGAAGAAGGAAGAAUAAGAAAUAGGAUGGCACACGAGAAGGCAAAGGGGACGCCGAGCGUCGAAGGGACGCUGUUCUCGAAACGCCGCGACGGCCCGUUGGUCUCAAAGUCGAUAGCGUAUCGCUUUCACAGACCCAAAGGUUACCGAAUCGUUCCAAGACUAUCUUAAUGGCUGGAUAGAUCGUUUGAUACUAUGGCCGAGUCGUAAAGGCUAUUGCUCUGCCUUCCUUCUCUCCUUUCAGCCUCCCUUAUUCCGUACAGCUCGCGCGCGCUGCCACCCCUCGCCGCCUGACUUCCUACUUUCCCAUAGUCGCAACCCUUAGCCUUCUGGCAAACUGGCUUAGCGCCACCCAUAGAUGCCCCACACUCAUCCAGCCUCACCCACUACAUUUAUCCCUAGGACGGGUGAACUUGAACGGCACUACAGUCAAUCGACAAUCGACCGUCGACUUCUAGUAAUUAAUUACCAGGCUAUCGCUACCCUCUUAAAGACGAAUAAAAUACCCAGUUGUUAUUCAUUACGCUUGCGAUUCACGUUCAAGGCGAAUGCACGCUUCCACUUGAGAAAAAAAAUAGUGCGGAAUUUUUUUCCAGCCUGAAAUUGUGAUAUUCAGUGCUGUACCUAG